UACAGAGGUCCCCAAGCGUUGUUCGGAUUCACUGGGCGUAAAGGGUGCGUAGGUGGUUGGGGUUAAGUUUGAUGUGAAAUCUCUGAAGCUCCAAACUCAGAAACUGCAUUGAAUACUAUCCGGCUAGAGAAUCGGAGGGACUGGAAGUAGCUUGGUGGUAGCAGUGAAAUGCGUAGAUAUCAAGUGGAACAGCCAGUGGCGAAGG
rnacentral:rRNA from 1 species